UACCAGCACCCCGAGUGGUCGGGACGAUUAUUGGGCCUAAAGCAUCCGUAGCCGGUUUUACAAGUCCUCCGUUAAAUCCAGCUGCUUAACAGAUGGGCUGCGGAGGAUACUAUAAGACUAGGAGGCAGGAGAGGCAAGCGGUACUCAGUGGGUAGGGGUAAAAUCCGUUGAUCCAUUGAAGACCACCAGUGGCGAAGGCGGCUUGCCAGAAUGCGCUCGACGGUGAGGGAUGAAAGCUGGGGGCGCAAACCGG
rnacentral:rRNA from 1 species